UCAAAGAGGGUAGUCUUCCAACAGUUGAAGAGGGGACAGAGACGUGAGUUCUGGGACAGCUCUCAAUAGUAAAGUUUCAGGAUGAAACAAAUGGAUGCUUUUGGGCAUAGAAAAAUCAAUUGGGGCACAAAUCUGAGAGUCAGAGCUGAAGAUCAAAAGCUAGAGAGAAGCUCGGAAGGUAUUUGUGGCCAUAUUCUUUUGCUCUUCCUCUGGACUCUUUGAUUCAACUGGUGAAUUUGUUAAUUCUUGUUUGUUUUAUUUUUUCCCCCCUUUCUCCUUUGGGUUCUUGUAGAGGGUGGCAUUAGAAUUUGUAUCAACUCGGGAAGUUAUGUUGACCUCAAAGCAGAUUAGUAUGGGGCGGCACUUUCCCCGCCUCAACAUUCUGCUUUUGGCCUAUACAAAAUCAAAAUUUCUUGCUUCUGUACAGAACUUGACCUUUAUUUUCUCUGUUGUAGUCUAUAAUACAAGCAGGAAGGCAGUCUGAUUG
rnacentral:misc_RNA from 1 species